AUAAAUAUGUAUAGAUUAUUUGAAAACUGUGGUUUUUCGUAAUUGUUUGUCACCAAAGUCAAAUAAUGGAAACAACUUCGCAAUAAUGGACAAAUCAUGCGGCCAGUUCUAGGUGACGCGGGCGGAGGACGGGAAACUAAAGUCUAAUUUGGAGUGGCCUAACUUCCACCGACAAAAAUAUUAAUGGGAAGAAUUGUUUCUGCUCUACCAUCAUAUUAAUUUGGUACAGCUCAUUACAAGUAUUGCAGCAAUCACUUGAAACUGAACUGAACCAUUUACUACAGACAUAAAAAACAGGCAGUCGCGAGACUGCACGUGCUACUGUUGUUUACAAACAAUAUAACAAUGCACGGAAAGUAUUACAUGUAACCAGACACAGUUCUAUAAUGCCCUAGUAUCUUCUAGGGACAAACCUAUAAAACAAACCGGUGCCCUAGUGUCUUCUAGGGACAAACCUAAAACAAAGUCAAAACCGUCGACACUAAAGUGCAUGACAGAAUAAAUAGUUGCAUAUUGACAACAGUUUGUCCUGAAGCGG